CUUGGCUGAAUCUCAACGUGUUCUUAAAGCAUUGGGGAUGGAUUAUUUAGAGAAGGCUGCUGAUUAUGAUGCUUUAAAAUGCUUCAGAAAAGCUUAGGGCCUUAAAUCUGCUAUGCAUUCAUGUUCUUGGAACGAAAAAGCUAAGAAAUUGGAUAGAAGACCAAAACAAACAAUUUGAGCAGAAGACAAAGGAAGCUAAAUCAAAGGUUUUUGAUGCUACAGGCAAGACUUCGCAGCUGAAAAUUAAAGGUGACAUUGCCAAAGCAAUUGAUGCUAGGGAUGGGGAGCGGGAAGCUCGUGCAAAGCUGCUCGAGUCAGAGGCGAUGCUGAUGCAAAGCUGCAUUAAUUAUUCUAUGCAGCAUAUUAGUUCUAACCGUUUUCUGUUUGUAGGUGGCACCUCUGGCCGUGUCUGAUGCAGCUAUGCUAGCUCCUAAAGAAGUAAUUUCUGGUAAAGGUGACAUCAAAGAAGAAACUGAGCUAACAAAGGCAGAUAGAAAGAGGAGAAGGGCAAAGAAAAAAAGACAGUUUAAAGCUGAGUCUGUCAAACGGAUGGCAGUAAAGACACAGCUAAGCACAUUGAAGAAACCCGAAGAUGUUGCAGGGAACGGGGAGUCAUGAAUGACACUUUGAAAGAAAUGUUUUCUUGCCUUUGCCGUCUAAUGUGAUUCAUGAUGUAGUGUGAAACAAAAGUCAACAUAUUGUUUGUUAUCUUUUUCUUGUCCAGUUUUCUUUUAUUUCACAUAUUUUAUUUGGAUUAUUUUUCUAUUGGCAGGUUGAGCUUGUGUGUCGGGUUCUCUCCUAAGUUAGUUGCUGCAAAUUCAUCAUAGCAGGUCAACUAGUUCAUGAGGACUUGGUGCUAGAACACAUAAU